AGUGCUGAGAACCCUUAAAGUGUGCUUCUAGACCUUUUGCCUUUGGCUUUCUAGACUGCUUUAACCAAGACGCCACAGGCCAGUUGAUUUAAACAAAAGUAUUUUCUUUUCAUAGACUCAGAUGGAGGCACCAGUAGAUUUGAGCUCCCUCCGGAAACUCUGCAAUUUGCUUUCUAUUACAGGACAGGAGUAGAUCAUCUAUUUUAAAAGGAUUCAAAUAAGAUCACAAGCAAGACAGAAGUCUUUCAGGUAAGAGGCUGAGUGAUAAUGGAGCAAAGGGGCGUGUGAAGGAUGCUGGAAAGCCUGAUGACACGGGCAGGUAGAGAUGGCUCCAGCACGGGAGCUAAAAGCCAGCCACAGAGAGGAGCAGGCAGGACAGACAGCAGCCGUGGGCCACAGAGGAAAUCAUACCCACACUCCAUCAUCCAUACAGACCCAGGACAAGAAGAGGCAGGAUGCCUAGUGCUCCACCAGGACACUCUUACAUCUUUAAAUCAUCACUGUGGGAAGAAACGCCAUGGGUAGCAAGCUUUGUAUAAUUUUGAAAGCUGUCAUCCUUGUACUGAACAGGGACACCUGCAUUGUUUACAGAACUUGGAAGAAGCAGAAAGGCUUGCUGACAAGUCGAUAAAACUAUAAAUGACCCUACUAAUACUUGCACAAUCGGUCAGAAGUGUUUCUGUACCUUGUAAGAUGUGUUGUGCCUGUUGAAGUUUUAUUUCCAUCAUUUUGGAAACACUGAAUAUGCACUUGAGCAGAUAAAACUUUUAAACAUGAAAAAUUCAAUAAAAUGCAUUUGCUCUG
rnacentral:lncRNA from 1 species